rnacentral:rRNA from 1 species
UACGUAGGGUGCGAGCGUUAAUCGGAAUUACUGGGCGUAAAGCGUGCGCAGGCGGUUAUGUAAGACAGAUGUGAAAUGCCCGGGCUUAACCUGGGAACUGCAUUUGUGACUGCAUGGCUAGAGUGUGUCAGAGGGGGGUAGAAUUCCACGUGUAGCAGUGAAAUGCGUAGAUAUGUGGAGGAAUACCGAUGGCGAAGGCAGCCCCCUGGGAUAACACUGACGCUGAGACGCGAAAGCGUGGGGAGCAAACAGG